rnacentral:lncRNA from 10 species
GCAAUGCGGAAGUUUAUGAAGAAUGAUGGGCUGAAUGAGUAUAAAGCCUUUCAGGCAGCUUUUAGUGACACACUUGAAGAAAUUUAUUGUUUCGUUGAGCAUUAUUACAGAUCAGCAUUGUCAAGAACCAAUGGUGUUCCCUGAAGAAAGAAUACAACAUGGGACACAGGACUCUCAGAAAGAUUUCUUCAUUUCAGUAAUUGGCACAUCUUUGAAGCAGCUGUCCAGUGGUUCUUGGAGCCUCACUGCUAAACCGUCAGUAAGGUCCUGCGGUGUAAUCAGUGGGAGGUAACAAGGGCCAUAUUCCAAGCAAGCAAUGCUUUCACUGGCUCUCAGGCCUGCUUCAGCUCUGCCAACCCUCUCGUCCCUUGCCCACCUCGUUUGCCAGCCCCCCUUUCUAUGCCGAAAUGCUACAAAUGGUUUCAUUUUCAUAGUAACAGAAAAACAUUCCAAACAAGUUUCCCUGUGUUUUUGUUGACCUUUGUUUUUCGUUUUAGUUUUAAAUAUACAUUCUCAUUCAUUCCUUCCUAUCAACUCCGUGGGUGUUUCGAGGUUUAAAACUGAUAUACUGAGAAGCCAUAGAAUUAUUCUUAUCUAAUGAUGCAUUUUAUAUUUCCU